AUGUUUAGCAACGUGACUCAGCCCCAAUUGUUCCAGCGAAUCCAAAGACGACUUUGCUUCCAGAUUCCCAUGUACCAAAGUGUCGUGCGUGUAAUCACCUAUUGUAAACACACAUUUUCCAGCGCUGCAAAGGGAGACAAACAGUUGCAAUGCCAAGGCAAUUCAGAAAAGCUGCUCCAUGAAGCUGAUCCAAAGCCCACUGAAGUCAAUGAAGCCUCAAGUAAGAACAAGAAUGAACAAAACAUCUGUAUGUAUCUCCUCUGGCUUAGGGCUGGCUGGGGGCUGUUACAACCCCAGGUUUUUGAUGGAGCAACCUCCAUGCUGCUCUAACUCUCCCCCUUGCAUGCCUGGAUUUAACACACUGGUUACAGCCUGAUGUUUUAUCCAUAUUCCCAUCCCUCCUCUGAACUGUGCUUCCUUGCUCAAAUGCUCCAGCACAGAGCUGUUUGAGGAAACAGUCCUUCAAAUCUGGCACUGUCUGCUGAGGCUUACAAACUUUCUGAUUAGAAAAGCAAAAGGGAAGAGCAAGGUCACUCCAGACCUUCAGAGGGUCCCCAUGGGUGAUACACAUCUGCAAGACUAUCAGCCACCUUCUUCCAGCCAUGAGGCCAUGCAGCACCUGGUCAAGGAAGGUGUGACCCAGGUGGAGGGUCAGGGACCUGCAGGGGACAUCCCAGGAGCCAGUGGAUGUAGGUACAAUGAGGGGAGGUAAGAUACAGUCUGGUAGGUGACCACUGCCCCUGUUAAGUGACAGCAGUGCCUGAGCAGCAGUGCCAAAGGGCCACAGCUCCUCGUGCUCCGUGCCCUGCCACCUGAAGGGAUGGGUCACAAGCCUUCUGGCUGAUCUUCCCCGCUUCUUGCCUGUUUGCCACAUUUUAACAUUAGUUCCCGUGUUUAAUGUUUCAGAUUUAUGUGUAGUUAAAAAAGAAGUCGGAGCGUGCCAGUUAUUUCUCCAAGGUUUCAGAACACAAACUUUGCAGCUCUUCUGUUGUUUUGCAUAGGCUGCCACAGAUGGAAGACAGAUAUCUGUCCGCCAACGUUUAAAGAGGACCAGAUUUUUUUGUUUAGAGUUUUUCACUGUUUAGCACUCCCAGUCGCACAAUCAGCCAGACCAAUCCUUCCCUCCAUAAAAAGCACAUACAUGAAUGAACACGAGAUACCAUUGUCUGUGCAGGAUUCACACACAGAAAGACAUCUGCAGAGCACUGGGACUGCCUUGACAGUUAGUUUUGGAAGGAAAGGGGUCAACAACUUCUAACCUGGCUUGGAAAGCUCUAAAAUUAAUGUAACUGUCUGCCAAAAGGGAAAGGAAACUGAAAGGGAAGGAAAACAAAGUUGCUUAGUAGCCAUUUCAGCUAGCAUCAGACAGGAAGAUUUGCUAUUUCCGAGUCUUUCCAACUGAAAUAUCUGCGGGAAGUUGUUGUGAGAAGUCUUGCUAAAUCAUCUGUACUCCUUUCCCAGCUGAUGAUUUAGACUGACCUCAUAUUCUCCAGCUUCCUUCUGCAGCAGAUACAGUUGGUCUCUGCCAUCGUACCUGAUCCUCCACAAAAGUUUUCACAACCUUCAGGCUCAUCACAACAGCCCUGCGAGCAUAAGCUGAAGCCAACUUGACACAACAGAUUCGGUUUUUCUCUCCGAGGCACACAUAUGUCACAAAGAUUGCAGUUCAUCACCUACGCUUCACAAAUGUUGCUGAGCACGCUCGAGUGGGAUAGCACUUGCAAACAGGACAGCACUGAUGUUUCUUUUAUAACUUAAAAAGAGAAAAAAUAUGGCUAAUGUAAGUCUGUUUGAAGUUAAGUUCACAAUUCAUGCUCUGUGAACUGUCUUAUGCUGUGUCCAAAAGCUGCACAGAAAAAAAAAAAAAAAAGAAAAAAAGUUGUCACUGGAAUCAUGUGCACAGCCCUGGGAAUGAGGCUUUUCUUCUGCCCCAACAUCUCCUGAGCUUGAAUACUUCAGGGCUUACAGAUUCAGUAGGGUGGGGUCAUUGGGUGGUGCCUGAAUGCCUGUGUGGACACAGGCAGAAGUUUCCAGGAGCAACAGAAAGUAAACUAUGCCACAGAAGUCGCACAGUGCUUACUGAUUUCUUCCUUGCGCAUGACGUCUUGGGAAAACUUGAGGGAGAAAAUGAAUGCUGACAACUGACAGGCAUCGGGCAGUGUCUUGAGGAAAGCAGGGAAAUGUGUGUCCCCAUGGACAAGGGCACCGGUGGAGGGAGGGGAGAGGAGAGGUGGCUGCUUCGCUCCCAGACAGGGAUUAGAAGUCGCAGGUGAACCAAGGCCACCUGCCCUACUAAUAGCAGCAGCUUCCUGCUCAAAAUAAGGAGCAAGUUCACGCAUUUGUUCUCCACUUGGGUUCAGACAUAAGCUGCAACACAGAUGUUCGCAGGGCACAAAGGGGACACCCAGCAGAGCUGGCUGCAAAAGAAAAUUUACAGGAAUGACAGCAAGUUUCCUUUUACAGCAGGCUCUCUAGAGAGGCAGUAAAAAGGAAGCUCAUUCUGCUAUCAUUUUUUCUUAAGCUCCUCCUUGUGUAAGAUCCCACUGCUGCCAAUCUCCAGAGACUGAAAAUGAAUUAGAAAGAGGAGGAAAAAGCAAAAACCACGGGAAAGCAAAAUAAAGAAGCAAAAGAGAAAACA
rnacentral:lncRNA from 1 species